CCAGAUCUAUUACUUCCAACUGA
rnacentral:miRNA from 1 species